UCCUGGGAGGUGAGUGGCCUGGCAAGUGCGCAGCUCAGUGCCGUCCAGUGUCCUCGUGAGCGGUGACGCGACCUUGUGUCUUCGUGUUAUUUGUUUCGUGCGGCUGACUGUGUUUUUUGACGCCCUUCUCCCGUCACGCACACACUUGACAUUGUGAGAAGAGACAAGUGGAGGUGGGAGACAGUCAAGUGUGGAACGUUGGACCGUGUUACUACAGCAUGUCUCUGUGCAACCACCAUAGCCCAUAGUCUUCAGAUUGACCCUUUAACCAGUGCUUCUAUAUUACACCACCACCACCACCACUAUCACCACUAUUAGCACCUCCACUUCAGCUACAAGAAAGCAGCGAGUAACACUUAGAAACUCUACAGAACGAACACAUCACUCAACGCUGCAUUUGAGCAACACCGCAGUCACCACAGCGCUUCACUGCAACCCGGGCACCACCUCACGCAGCGCCUCACGACUCCCUCACCACAACACGAAGACUCUACUUGGGAUAUUUCAUGAAAUAGAAUAAUUCUUGAGGCUUGAAAAUAGUUAUUAGUCGAUUAUUCUUUUUUUGUUUUCCAACGCAUACUAUUUAUUUCCUUUGGUUUGUCUCGAAGAUUCGGCAAUGCGUGGGCUUUCUGUGAUAACCUUGUUUGUUGAUUAUUAUUGUUGUUCACUGUUACGUAAGUGUAGAGGGAAGGCGUGGCCUUGCUCUGCUGACUGGAAUAAACCUUGAGUUG